rnacentral:misc_RNA from 1 species
AUUGUCGGCUAUGGGAUAAAUAAAAUAUAUACAUAUUUAUUGAUCUCUCCAUAGUCGGCUAAUAAAUAGAUGUUACAGAGUGAAUUUGGGUAUAAAUUUUUUUUAUAGAAAAAAUACUUAUUAUAAAAAUUAUUGUAUA